rnacentral:rRNA from 1 species
CAGUCGCCACGGUAAUACGAAGGGUGCAAGCGUUAAUCGGAAUUACUGGGCGUAAAGCGUGCGUAGGCGGUGAGUUAAGUCUGCUGUGAAAUCCCCGGGCUCAACCUGGGAAUGGCAGUGGAUACUGGCUCGCUAGAGUGUGUCAGAGGAUGGUGGAAUUCCCGGUGUAGCGGUGAAAUGCGUAGAGAUCGGGAGGAACAUCAGUGGCGAAGGCGGCCAUCUGGGACAACACUGACGCUGAGGCACGAAAGCGUGGGGAGCAAACAGGAUUAGAUACCCCGGUAGUCCCUGUCUCUUAUAC